rnacentral:lncRNA from 1 species
GCCAACCUGCCAGUCCCACCUUCACCGACUGAUUGGGGAGACAAUUAUACAGGAAGCCCACUGCGAUCAAAUGUGACGGAUUCCUCUCUACUGAACCUGCGUGGACAGAAGGACAAGGGGGAGAGUGAAGAGAAGGCGAUCCGAGCAGAUACAAGUCGUCUCAAUUACUGCUUGAAGACACGCUGAGGAAGGCCUCUGGAGAUGGGUGAGCAGGUGCCCCCAGCCCAGCUCUGCCUGCUCUGAAGGCUCUGCUCUUCACUAGGAGUCCUCAUCCUCUGCUGUUUCGUGAGGUG